rnacentral:tRNA from 4 species
GCCCCUAUCGUCUAGUGGCCUAGGAUAUCGCCCUCUCACGGCGAAGACCGGGGUUCGAGUCCCCGUAGGGGUA